rnacentral:piRNA from 1 species
UACGGAGAGAAAUUUGAGGAUGA